UACGAAGGGGGCUAGCGUUGCUCGGAAUUACUGGGCGUAAAGCGCACGUAGGCGGCUUUCUAAGUCGGGGGUGAAAUCCUGGAGCUCAACUCCAGAACUGCCUUCGAUACUGGAGAGCUUGAGUCCGGGAGAGGUGAGUGGAACUGCGAGUGUAGAGGUGAAAUUCGUAGAUAUUCGCAAGAACACCAGUGGCGAAGGCGGCUCACUGGCCCGGUACUGACGCUGAGGUGCGAAAGCGUGGGGAG
rnacentral:rRNA from 1 species